rnacentral:tRNA from 1 species
GGCCUUAUGGUCUAGUAGCAUGAUUCCUCUUUUGGGUUCGCUAGCCUUAUCAGGAUAGCUUACAUGAAUAGAGGAGGUCCUGGGUUCAACUCCCAGUGAGGCCC